CGGCGGGGUGGGUGGGGCGUUCUGCUCGGGCGGGGCCUUCACCCCCGCGGCCCCGCCGGUGUCGGUCGGUGGUUGCCCACCGCCCCCAUCGG
rnacentral:tRNA from 1 species